AGCGAACGCUGGCGGCAGGCUUAACACAUGCAAGUCGAGCGGGCACUUUCGGGUGUCAGCGGCGGACGGGUGAGUAACGCGUGGUAACGUGCCCUCUGGUUCGGAAUAACCCAGGGAAACUUUAGCUAAUACCGGAUACGCCCUUUUGGGGAAAGGCUUGCUGCCUGAUGAUCGGCCCGCGUCUGAUUAGCUAGUUGGUUAGGUAACGGCUCACCAAGGCGACGAUCAGUAGCUGGUCUGAGAGGAUGAUCAGCCACACUGGGACUGAGACACGGCACAGACUACUAAGGGAGGAAGCAGUGGGGAAUAUUGGACAAUGGGCGCAAGCCUGAUCAAGCCAAGCCGCGUGAAUGAUCAAGGCAUUAGGGUUGUAAAGCUCUUUUAUACGGGACGAUAAUGACGGUACAGGAGGAAUAAGCCCCGGCUAACUUCGUG
rnacentral:rRNA from 1 species